rnacentral:rRNA from 1 species
GUUGGCUACGUUCGGGAGGGAUAACCGCUGAAAGCAUCUAAGCGGGAAGCCUGCUUCGAGAUGAGGACUCCCACCUCCUAGAGAGGGUAAGGCUCCCAGUAGACGACUGGGUUGAUAGGCCGGAUAUGGAAGCACGGUAACGUGUGGAGUUGACCGGUACUAAUAGGCCGAGGGCUUGUCCUCAGUUG